CGGGCCCGCCCAAGUGUUGCUGGGAAAUUUCGCCCCUUUAAAAGUUUUNGAUNCCUUGGCUCAAGAUUUGAANCGCCUGGCGGCAUGCCUUUAAAANAUGCAANNUCGAACGGCAGGCGCGGGGCAACCUUGGCGCCNANUGCCAACCGGUUAAUUAUUANNUGGAAACGUACCCAGAAGUGGGGGAUAACGUAGCGAAAGUUACGCUAAUACCGCAUACGUUCUACGGAAGAAAGUGGGGGAUCUUCGGACCUCAUGCUUUUGGAGCGGCCGAUGUCUGAUUAGCUAGUUGGUGAGGUAAAGGCUCACCAAGGCGACGAUCAGUAGCUGGUUUNAGAGGACGACCAGCCACACUGGGACUGAGACACGGCCCAGACUCCUACGGGGGGCAGCAGA
rnacentral:rRNA from 1 species